UCUAAUAUGGCAGAAUAGUGCAUUGGAUUUAAAUCCCAAUUAUAAAGGCCCCUUUUUUUAGAA
rnacentral:tRNA from 2 species